GUACAUCCAACGAAGAAUGUUAAGUUGACGUUGCUUUCGUUGUGUAGAUUUUUUCAUGGUUUAUGUACUAAAAUUGGUACAACGAAAGAUGUUAAAAAACUUGAAGCACGUAUUGUAGAAAUAUUAUGCCAUCUUGAGAGGAUCUUUCUACCUACAUUCUUUAAUGUUAUUGUUAAUUUAUUGAUCCAUUUACCACGAGAGGUAUUGUUAGGUGGACCAGUGCAUUACAGAUGGAUGUAUCCUUUUACAAGGUUCAACAAGACUCUUAAAGACUAAAUGCGUAAUGUUAGUCAACCAGAAGGAUCUAUUGCAGAAGGAUAUGUUGAAGAUGAAUGUCUGACAUUUUGUUCCAGGUACUUCGAAGGCCUGGAGACUAGGUUAACUCAUCCAGUAAGGAGUAUUGGUAGUGGAGACCUACAAACAGACAAACAUUGGAUAUUCUCAUGCACUGGAAGACCAUUAGGGUGUCCUACGAUUAUUCGAUUAGAGUUAAAUGAAAUAAUUCAAGCACACCGAUAUGUGCUUCUCCAUUACGAACCCUUUGAUGCAUAACGAGAAAGUCACAAGGAAGAGACUAAGAAGAGUUUAGGAUAUAGAAGUCGGGCCUUCGAUAGGAAAAAGGUGUAUGCAGAAAAAUUCUCAGAGGGGUUCAGAUGUCAAGUA